GACCAGAGAAGAAAGGUAUCUGUUAUUCGGUCAUCAGGCAGAUUUAUUUAGAAUUGUUUUUAAGUAAUGAUAAUCAGUAAGUUGUGGAAUGGCAAACUUUUCUUUUAAAUCACAUUUUUCUUCAUGGCAGACAACAAUAUACUUUUCAGAGUGGAUAUAUAUUUUACCAUUCCAGAAUUAUAUGAAGUCCACAUGAAACUACAGCAGAAUUUUUCUUAGGUGAGAAACAUGUGGAAAGAAAAAACGGAACAGGAAAAGGAUCAAGUACACAAAGCAGACGCCACCAAGCAGAGGCGGGUCACAGCAUGGCUCAGACUUGCUCACAGCCGUACAGCCAAGCCCGGUCUCAACAGCCAGUUAGUCGCGUGAGCUGGACAUGCCUGACCCAGGCGCCAAUGGGCUGUGUUUGCCGUCAGUAAUUCCCAAAGGCUGCUGAAUUCGGAGAGAUUUUAGUGUUUCAUGAAAAACAAAAAGGGAGAUGUUCUGUGAAUAAAUACGUUAGGAAAUGA